AUUGAACGCUGGCGGCAGGCCUAACACAUGCAAGUCGAACGGUAACAGGAAACAGCUUGCUGUUUCGCUGACGAGUGGCGGACGGGUGAGUCAUGUCUGGGAAACUGCCUGAUGGAGGGGGAUAACUACUGGAAACGGUAGCUAAUACCGCAUAACGUCGCAAGACCAAAGAGGGGGACCCUCGGGCCUCUUGCCAUCGGAUGUGCCCAGAUGGGAUUAGCUUGUUGGUGGGGUAACGGCUCACCAAGGCGACGAUCCCUAGCUGGUCUGAGAGGAUGACCAGCCACACGGGAACUGAGACACGGUCCAGACUCCUACGGGAGGCAGCAGUGGGGAAUAUUGAACAAUGGGCGCAAGCCUGAUGCAGCCAUGCCGCGUGUAUGAAGAAGGCCUUCGGGUUGUAAAGUACUUUCAGCGGGGAGGAAGGGAGUAAAGUUAAUACCUGUGAUCAUUGACGUUACCCGCAGAAGAAGCACCGGCUAACUCCGU
rnacentral:rRNA from 1 species